rnacentral:rRNA from 1 species
GAUGAACGCUGGCGGCGUGCCUAAUACAUGCAAGUCGAGCGAACGGAAGAGAAGCUUGCUCCUCUGAUGUGAGCGGCGGACGGGUGAGUAACACGUGGAUAACCUACCUAUAAGACGGGGAUAACUUCGGGAAACCGGAGCUAAUACCGGAUAAUAUUGUGAACCGCAUGGUUCAAAAGUGAAAGACGGUCUUGCUGUCCUACAUAGAUGGAUCCGCGGUGCAUUAGUUAGUUGGUAAGGUAACGGCUUACCAAGGCAACGAUGCAUAGCCGACCGGAGAGGGUGAUCGGCCACACUGGAACUGGGACACGGUCCAGACUCCUACGGGAGGCAGCAGAAGGGAAUCUUCCGCAAUGGGCGAAAGCCCGACGGAGCAACGCCGCGUGGGUGAUGAAGGUCUUCGGUUCGUAAAACUCUGUUUUUAGGGAAGAACAUAUGUGUAAGUAAAUGUGCACAUCUUGACGGUACCUAAUCAGAAAGCCACGGCUAACUACGUG